rnacentral:rRNA from 1 species
GACGAGCCUCACAAACGUUAUUCGGAAUUACUGGGCUUAAAGGGUGCGUAGGCGGCGUAGAAAGUUGGGUGUGAAAUCCCUCGGCUCAACCGAGGAACUGCGCCCAAAACUACUAUGCUCGAGGGAGAUAGAGGAAUGCGGAACUUAGGGUGGAGCGGUGAAAUGCGUUGAUAUCCUAGGGAACACCGGUGGCGAAAGCGGCAUUCUGGAUCUCUUCUGACGCUGAUGCACGAAAGCUAGGGUAGCAAACGGG